CAUAGCUUAAUGAAUAUAUUAGGUUAUUCCUGCCCAAUGAUUUAAAUGGCCGCAGUACCUUGACUGUGCUAAGGUAGCAUAAUAAUUUGGCUUUUAAUUUAAGUCUAGAAUGAAAGGAAACUAGAGAGGCUGUCUUAUAACUAAUUAAUAAAUUUUCUUAUAAGGUGAAAAUUCCUUAAAGUAUAUUAGACGAGAAGACCCUUAGAGUUUUAAAUUUUUUUGUUGGGGCGACAAAGUUACAAUAAACUUACUUUUAUUAAGGACUAGCCGAGCAAGAUAAAGCUACCUAAGGGAUAACAGCAUAAAAUUAAGAUUAUGACCUCGAUGUUGGAUUAGGGAAUAUUGGCUAACAGCUAUUAUUGUUCUGUUCGAACCCUACGUGAUCU
rnacentral:rRNA from 1 species